GGGGUGUAGCUCAGCUGGUUAGAGCGCCGGCCUGUCACGCCGGAGGCCGCGGGUUCGAGUCCCGUCACUCC
rnacentral:tRNA from 1 species